rnacentral:rRNA from 1 species
CCUACGGGAGGCAGCAGUGGGGAAUAUUGGACAAUGGGCGCAAGCCUGAUCCAGCCAUUCCGCGUGGGUGAAGAAGGCUUUCGGGUUGUAAAGCCCUUUUGUUGGGAAAGAAAAGCAGCGGGCUAAUUCCUUGCUGUUCUGACGGUACCCAAAGAAUAAGCCCCGGCUAACUUCGUGCCAGCAGCCGCGGUAAUUCGAAGGGUGCCAGCGUUUCUUGGAAUUUCUGGGCGUAAAGCGUGCGUAGGUGGUUGUUUAAGUCUGUUGUGAAAACCCUGGGCUCCACCUGGGAACUGCCGUGGAAACUGGACGACUAGAGUUUGGUAGAAGGUAGCGGAAUUCCCGGUGUAGCAGUGAAAUGCGUAGAGAUCGGGAGGAACCUCCAUGGCGAAGGCAGCUCCCUGGACCAACUCUGACCCUGAGGCUCGAAAACGUGGGGAGCCAACCGGAUUAGAUUCCCUGGUAGUUCCCGCCCUUAACGAUGCUAACUGGAUGUUGGGUGCCCUUUGGCUCUCAGUAUCGCAGCUAACGCGUAAGU